rnacentral:rRNA from 1 species
GGUUAAGCGACUAAGCGUACACGGUGGAUGCCCUGGCAGUCAGAGGCGAUGAAGGACGUGCUAAUCUGCGAAAAGCGUCGGUAAGGUGAUAUGAACCGUUAUAACCGGCGAUGUCCGAAUGGGGAAACCCAGUGUGAUUCGUCACACUAUCGUUAACUGAAUACAUAGGUUAACGAGGCGAACCGGGGGAACUGAAACAUCUAAGUACCCCGAGGAAAAGAAAUCAACCGAGAUUCCCCCAGUAGCGGCGAGCGAACGGGGAGCAGCCCAGAGUCUGAAUCAGCUUGUGUGUUAGUGGAACGGUCUGGAAAGUCCGACGGUACAGGGUGAUAGUCCCGUACACCAAAAUGCACAGGUUGUGAACUCGAAGAGUAGGGCGGGACACGUGGUAUCCUGUCUGAAUAUGGGGGGACCAUCCUCCAAGGCUAAAUACUCCUGACUGACCGAUAGUGAACCAGUACCGUGAGGGAAAGGCGAAAAGAACCCCGGCGAGGGGAGUGAAAAAGAACCUGAAACCGUGUACGUACAAGCAGUGGGAGCACCUUCGGGUGUGACUGCGUACCUUUUGUAUAAUGGGUCAGCGACUUAUAUUCUGUAGCAAGGUUAACCGUAUAGGGGAGCCGCAGGGAAACCGAGUCUUAACUGGGCGUUAAGUUGCAGGGUAUAGACCCGAAACCCGGUGAUCUAGCCAUGGGCAGGUUGAAGGUUGGGUAACACUAACUGGAGGACCGAACCGACUAAUGUUGAAAAAUUAGCGGAUGACUUGUGGCUGGGGGUGAAAGGCCAAUCAAACCGGGAGAUAGCUGGUUCUCCCCGAAAGCUAUUUAGGUAGCGCCUCGUGAAUUCAUCUUCGGGGGUAGAGCACUGUUUCGGCUAGGGGGUCAUCCCGACUUACCAACCCGAUGCAAACUACGAAUACCGAAGAAUGUUAUCACGGGAGACACACGGCGGGUGCUAACGUCCGUCGUGAAGAGGGAAACAACCCAGACCGCCAGCUAAGGUCCCAAAGUCAUGGUUAAGUGGGAAACGAUGUGGGAAGGCACAGACAGCCAGGAUGUUGGCUUAGAAGCAGCCAUCAUUUAAAGAAAGCGUAAUAGCUCACUGGUCGAGUCGGCCUGCGCGGAAGAUGUAACGGGGCUAAACCAUGCACCGAAGCUGCGGCAGCGACACUAUGUGUUGUUGGGUAGGGGAGCGUUCUGUAAGCCUGCGAAGGUGACCUGUGAGGGUUGCUGGAGGUAUCAGAAGUGCGAAUGCUGACAUAAGUAACGAUAAAGCGGGUGAAAAGCCCGCUCGCCGGAAGACCAAGGGUUCCUGUCCAACGUUAAUCGGGGCAGGGUGAGUCGACCCCUAAGGCGAGGCCGAAAGGCGUAGUCGAUGGGAAACAGGUUAAUAUUCCUGUACUUGGUGUUACUGCGAAGGGGGGACGGAGAAGGCUAUGUUAGCCGGGCGACGGUUGUCCCGGUUUAAGCAUGUAGGCUGAUUGUCCAGGCAAAUCCGGAUAAUCAAGGCUGAGGUGUGAUGACGAGGCACUACGGUGCUGAAGUAACAAAUGCCCUGCUUCCAGGAAAAGCCUCUAAGCAUCAGGUAACAUCAAAUCGUACCCCAAACCGACACAGGUGGUCAGGUAGAGAAUACCAAGGCGCUUGAGAGAACUCGGGUGAAGGAACUAGGCAAAAUGGUGCCGUAACUUCGGGAGAAGGCACGCUGGUGUGUAGGUGAAGCCCCUGCGGGUGGAGCUGAGACCAGUCGAAGAUACCAGCUGGCUGCAACUGUUUAUUAAAAACACAGCACUGUGCAAACACGAAAGUGGACGUAUACGGUGUGACGCCUGCCCGGUGCCGGAAGGUUAAUUGAUGGGGUUAUCCGUAAGGAGAAGCUCUUGAUCGAAGCCCCGGUAAACGGCGGCCGUAACUAUAACGGUCCUAAGGUAGCGAAAUUCCUUGUCGGGUAAGUUCCGACCUGCACGAAUGGCGUAAUGAUGGCCAGGCUGUCUCCACCCGAGACUCAGUGAAAUUGAACUCGCUGUGAAGAUGCAGUGUACCCGCGGCAAGACGGAAAGACCCCGUGAACCUUUACUAUAGCUUGACACUGAACAUUGAGCCUUGAUGUGUAGGAUAGGUGGGAGGCUUUGAAGCGUGGACGCCAGUCUGCGUGGAGCCAACCUUGAAAUACCACCCUUUAAUGUUUGAUGUUCUAACGUUGGCCCCUGACCGGGGUUGCGGACAGUGUCUGGUGGGUAGUUUGACUGGGGCGGUCUCCUCCCAAAGCGUAACGGAGGAGCACGAAGGUUAGCUAAUCCUGGUCGGACAUCAGGAGGUUAGUGCAAUGGCAUAAGCUAGCUUGACUGCGAGCGUGACGGCGCGAGCAGGUGCGAAAGCAGGUCAUAGUGAUCCGGUGGUUCUGAAUGGAAGGGCCAUCGCUCAACGGAUAAAAGGUACUCCGGGGAUAACAGGCUGAUACCGCCCAAGAGUUCAUAUCGACGGCGGUGUUUGGCACCUCGAUGUCGGCUCAUCACAUCCUGGGGCUGAAGUAGGUCCCAAGGGUAUGGCUGUUCGCCAUUUAAAGUGGUACGCGAGCUGGGUUUAGAACGUCGUGAGACAGUUCGGUCCCUAUCUGCCGUGGGCGCUGGAGAAUUGAGGGGGGCUGCUCCUAGUACGAGAGGACCGGAGUGGACGCAUCACUGGUGUUCGGGUUGUCAUGCCAAUGGCACUGCCCGGUAGCUAAAUGCGGAAGAGAUAAGUGCUGAAAGCAUCUAAGCACGAAACUUGCCCCGAGAUGAGUUCUCCCUGAGACUUUAAGUCUCCUGAAGGAACGUUGAAGACGACGACGUUGAUAGGCCGGGUGUGUAAGCGCAGCGAUGCGUUGAGCUAACCGGUACUAAUGAACCGUGAGGCUUAACCUU